CAACAUUAUUCAAAAGCACCAACAUUUAAAUAGAGGACAGAGCCUGUUUCUCAGCAAGGUAGCAGCAAAACUGAAAAUUACUUUAGAAUGAUAUUCUGUCCUCACAAGCUCAUAUAACAUAGAUGAAGCUGAUGUUCUGUAAAAUGUAAGAAAAAAAAAGAAAAAAAUUUUGAAAACAGCCCUUAUGUAAAAUAAUUUCAGGGGAAAUUGACCAUAUUUCUAUAAAACAUGAUUUCAAUAUUUAAUUCUUGUGCAUGCUGACAGUAAUUAGAAGUCAACCAGCAGCUCUUAUAGAUUGUGAUUCUUACUUGUUAAAAGAAGACCUUACUAUGAUAAAAUAAAUUGAAGCAGCUUAUACUAAUUUAAUAGCAUAACAUCAAUGGCUUCUCUGGUUAUGGAUGAUUUUCCCCCACUCUCCCUGUUCCUGUAGAAACAGAGGUCAAACUUACAUAUAAUCUAGAAUCUUGUGUUUUUCAAAUAAUAUAAGUAAUAGGAUAAAUAUAAUUAUAUAUAGAUUUUAAUGGUCAAAAUCAAAUAAAGAAUAGUGAAAAAAAAAUGUCAAAAAUAGAAUAAAGAAAUGAAGGACCCCAAUCAAAACACUCUUGUAUAAUUUGCCUUAGAAAGUGGCGGAUCCAGAGGGGGUUCCGGGGGUUCAAUUAAAACCUUAAGUUUGAGCAAUGAUAAUGUGGUCGGUGUUGGAUGUCCUGUAAAAGAUGAACACUCGAUGAUGUAAUGCAAUUUGUCAAAAUGAAAAAAACACCAGAC
rnacentral:lncRNA from 1 species